rnacentral:rRNA from 1 species
UCGGGAAUUUUGGGCAAUGGGCGAAAGCCUGACCCAGCAACGCCGCGUGAGGGAUGAAGUAUUUCGGUAUGUAAACCUCGAAAGAAUGGGAAGAAUAAAUGACGGUACCAUCUAUAAGCUCCGGCUAACUACGUGCCAGCAGCCGCGGUAAUACGUAGGGAGCAAGCGUUGUUCGGAUUUACUGGGCGUAAAGGGCGCGUAGGCGGCGCGGUAAGUCACUUGUGAAAUCUCUGAGCUUAACUCAGAACGGCCAAGUGAUACUGCUGUGCUAGAGUGCGGAAGAGGCAACCGGAAUUCUUGGUGUAGCGGUGGAAUGCGUAGAUAGCAAGAGGAACACCUGAGGCGAAGGCGGGUUGCUGGGCCGACACUGACGCUGAUGCGCGAAAGCCAGGGGAGCAAACG